GAGGAAUAUUGCACAAUGGGCGAAAGCCUGAUGCAGCAACGCCGCGUGGGGGAUGAAGGCCUUCGGGUCGUAAACCCCUUUUCUGUGGGACGAGAAAGGACGGUACCACAGGAAUAAGUCUCGGCUAACUACGUGCCAGCAGCCGCGGUAAAACGUAGGAGGCGAACGUUAUCCGGAAUUACUGGGCGUAAAGCGCACGCAGGCGGCUUCGUAAGUCCGACGUGAAAGCUCCCGGCUUAACUGGGAGAGGCCGUUGGAUACUGCGGAGCUUGAGGUUGGGAGAGGAAAGCGGAAUUCCCGGUGUAGUGGUGGAAUGCGUAGAUAUCGGGAGGAACUCCAGUGGCGAAAGCGGCUUUCUGGCCUACACCUGACGCUGAGGUGCGAAAGCGUGGGGAGCGAAC
rnacentral:rRNA from 1 species